GUGCUCGCUUCAGCAGCACAUAUGCUAAAAUUGGAACCAUGCAGAGAUGAUUAGUAUGGCCCCUGCACAAGGAUAACACACAAAUUCAUGAAGCGCUCUGUAUUUUU
ensembl:snRNA U6 U6 spliceosomal RNA